rnacentral:rRNA from 1 species
UACAGAGGAUGCAAGCGUUAUCCGGAAUGAUUGGGCGUAAAGCGUCUGUAGGUGGCUUUUUAAGUCCGCCGUCAAAUCCCAGGGCUCAACUCUGGACAGGCGGUGGAAACUACCAAGCUGGAGUACGGUAGGGGCAGAGGGAAUUUCCGGUGGAGCGGUGAAAUGCGUAGAUAUCGUCUGGAACGCCGAAGGUGAAAACAGCUCGCUGGGAUUGUGCUGACGCUGAGACACGAAAGCCAGGGGAGCGAACGGG